CAUGAAGGAAAGAAUGCCUGAAGACAUAAGGGCUUUACAGUGUGGGGAGAAUCGGGGAAAGCAAAGCUGGCAAACAGAGGAUGCAGACUCUAAAAAAUGAAAAAUUAUCCAACAAAUUGAAAAACAAAUUGAAUAUCAUCACACUACUGAAGAACUGAGUCAAACAAAAAUACCUCUGAAAACAAGUACAUUUUGGGAGUGGAAUUUCAAUAGGGAAAUGCCCUCAUCUCACCUGUCUUUGGAGGACUACAUAAAAAUCCUGCUCCUGGGAAGCAACGGCAGCAGCACAGCAAAAUGUUCUACCAUGAGACAUGUUCA